UACGGAGGGUGCGAGCGUUGUCCGGAAUCACUGGGCGUAAAGGGCGCGUAGGCGGCCGUGUAAGUCACUUGUGAAAUCCCGGGGCUCAACUCCGGGGCUGCAGGUGAGACUGCGUGGCUAGAGCACGGUAGAGGCGAGUGGAAUUCCCGGUGUAGCGGUGGAAUGCGUAGAUAUCGGGAAGAACACCGGUGGCGAAGGCAGCUCGCUGGGACGGUACUGACGCUGAGGCGCGAAAGCGUGGGGAGCGAACAGG
rnacentral:rRNA from 1 species